rnacentral:tRNA from 1 species
CAAGGAGUAGUUUGAAGGAAAAAUAUUAAUUUUGGGAAUUAAAGAUAAAAGAGAUUUUCUCCUUGA